UGUGUGUGUGCGCGCGCGUACGUGUGAGCGUGUACGUCUUGUGUGUUUGUUGUGUGUGUGUGUGUGUGCUUCUUGUGUUGUGUUAGAUUGAGGAGUAUGAGAAGCUAGAGCAACAGCUACGCACUGCCCUGGUAGACGUGGAGCAAAAGGAGAAACAGCUGCGAGAUGCGCAACAAGAGACCACACUGCUGCGUUCAUCGCUGGAGACACAGAAGGAGCGGCUUGCUGCUGAAUUGCGCGAUACGACGGAGCGACUGCAGGAGACGUUCCGGCACCAAUUAGACAUUGAGAGAUCACGAAAUCAGGAGUCGGAAAGUCAACGCCAGCAAAUGCAGCAGCAGCUCUCGGAUCUACAGCGUGCCGUACGACAACGUGAAGAGGAGCUGUUAACCUGCCGGGCAGAUCGUAACACGCAGCCUGAAGUCAAGUUACAGGCGGAGAUGAGCAUUGUACAGAUGGAGAAGGUGUGUCUAGCUCUAUCUCUCUCUCUCUCUCUCUCUCUCUCUCUCUCUCUCUCUCUC